CGUAGAAUUUGCAUUUCCUACUCUACCUGUAGUAAGAACAUUUAAGAAAAUCUCAGGGCUAUGACACAAUAUUGUCAAGUGUAGUCACUCACCAUGCCUAGGAGAAGCGUAGCCACAGUGUCGGGCAUGGCAGCGGGGACAGAAAGCUGAGAGUCUCAGCAUGACACAGAGAGGGCAAGCUGGAAGCUGCAUGAUGUUUUAAACCCUCAAAGCCAGCCUCCAGUGAUGUACCUCCUCCCACAGGCUAUACAUUCUGUACCUCCCCCAAACAGCAACGUCAACUGAGGACCAAGUGUUUAAACAUUUGAGACUGGAGGAUCUUCUCAUUCAAACCACCAUAGGGUUGUACCUUGGAUUCCACACAGAGAUGAUAUCAAGUCAUAUCUAUUUUGCAGAGUCUGGCUUAUCAACAUAAUGUGCCCAGCAUCAUCCACAUGGAGGCUUUAGUUAUAAUCCCCGUGCACUGGUUUGGACCCUGGAAUUCGUUUGAAGAGAUGUAGAUCAUCAGCUGAGUGCCAUGUGCCAACCGUGAGACCCAGACUGAUGUUCGACAUGUUUGUAGUUUUGGGGAAGUUCAGACCCUCACUACAUUUUUCUUCGUGCCAUCCUGAAACCAUCUGUCUGUUUUUGGUUUCAUGGCGUCUUCUACCUUCAGUGGCCAGCUCUUGCCAGGAAUGGAUUUUUUCUGAAGUAUCAAGAGGUC
rnacentral:lncRNA from 1 species